rnacentral:rRNA from 1 species
AGUGAACGCUGGCGGCAGGCCUAACACAUGCCAGUCGAACGGCAGCACAAGAGAGCUUGCUCUCUGGGUGGCGAGUGGCGGACGGGUGAGGAAUGCAUCGGAAUCUGCCCAUUUGUGGGGGAUAACCUCGGGAAACCGGGACUAAUACCGCAUACGACCUACGGGUGAAAGCAGGGGAUCUUCGGACCUUGCGCAGAUGGAUGAGCCGAUGCCGGAUUAGCUAGUUGGAGGGGUAAAGGCCCACCAAGGCGACGAUCCGUAGCUGGUCUGAGAGGAUGAUCAGCCACACUGGGACUGAGACACGGCCCAGACUCCUACGGGAGGCAGCAGUGGGGAAUAUUGGACAAUGGGCGCAAGCCUGAUCCAGCCAUGCCGCGUGUGUGAAGAAGGCCUUCGGGUUGUAAAGCACUUUUGUUGGGAAAGAAAAGCAGCCGGCUAAUACCCGGUUGUCAUGACGGUACCCAAAGAAUAAGCACCGGCUAACUUCGUG